UAACCUACUACCCCCCCCCCCAUGUUGGAUGAUUAGGGGACAUGGGUCCCACCCUUGAUUACUUUGUUAUAUUUUAUAAAAAUCUUGUAGGGAAUAUACCAAACUUAGAUGCCAUAUGCCAUCCUAAUCUCUAUAUAAACCACUAGUCCAUCAUCACAUUCAUCACUUAUCUUCAUCAACACACUCAAACUCUCUCCUCCCUUCUCUUGUUCGGCCGCCCCCUAGUACCACCACCACCACCAUCACUUGAUCACCUUCAAGCAUUCUACAAGCAUACAAAGGUGCUACGGGUCAUACAACGGAGCUUGGUGCUCUCGGAAGUCGUUAAAUGCUUGGAGCUUGCAUAUGGAGGUGGUCGUUCUUGGUGCUCUCGGAAGUGGAAGGACCUUCUCUAUUUGCUAUUAAC
rnacentral:lncRNA from 1 species